rnacentral:lncRNA from 1 species
UCGCCCACCUACUCGUGCCAGCACCUCCACUCGUGGCAGAGGCAGACGGGGUAGAGGACAAGUCCUUGAUCGUGAUCCAUCAUCUCCCACCCCAUCUCUGAUACAUCUGAUUCUGAUCCAUCUAGUCAUGAGAUCUACUAGAUCCUUGUAGCUAGCCUUGUCUGUUGUUCUUUCUAGGAUCUAUCUUUUGGGCCAUAUAAUGAUAUUAACUAGUUGACUUUUAUAUUAUGGAAUAUGUAUUGGAACAGCUAUGGUACCAAUCAUCUUUUGAUUAUAUAUCUACUCUUUGACUUUUAAUGUAAUGUUGCUAUUUCAUAUCUAUGGUACUCAAUGGCAUAUUUUGUUUUAUGAUUGCUGUAUUCAGGGGGAGUAAACAUUAAUGUCAGUAAAAUUAAUGAUUAGCACAAGAAGUUUGAAGAAACAAA